ACUCAAAUGAAUUGACGGGGGCCCGCACAAGCGGCGGAGCGCGUUGCUUAAUUCGAAGCAAAGCGAAGAACCUUACCCAGGCUUGACAUGCAGGUGGUAGGCGCCAGAAAUGGUUGCCCAAUGGUAUCCAAGCCAUACCUGUGCAGGUGUUGCAUGGCUGUCGUCAGCUCGUGCCGUGAGGUGUUGGCUUAAGUGCCGCAACGAGCGCAACCCCCGUCACAUGUUGCCACCAGGUAAUGCUGAGCACUCAUGUGAGACUGCCGGGGAAACCCCGGAGGAAGGAGGGGAUGACGUCAAGUCAGCAUGGCCCUUACGCCUGGGGCUGCAAACGCGCUACAAUGCGCGGUACAGCGGGCUGCGAGACCGCAAGGUGGAGCGAAUCCCGAAAAACCGCGCUCAGUUCGGAUUGGGGUCUGCAACUCGACCCCAUGAAGUCGGAGUCGCUAGUAAUGGCAGAUCAGCAUGCUGCCGUGAAUGCGUUCCCGGGCCUUGUACACACCGCCCGU
rnacentral:rRNA from 1 species